GUUGAUUACGUCCCUGCCCUUUGUACACACCGCCCGUCGCUACUACCGAUUGAAUGGCUUAGUGAGACCCUCGGAUUGGUAUUCUGAAGCUUUAACCGGCAUCUGUUUGCUGAGAAGUUGGUCAAACUUGGUCAUUUAGAGGAAGUAAAAGUCGUAACAAGGUUUCCGUAGGUGAACCUGCGGAAGGAUCAUUAAUGAUUUUUAAAGCGAGUCGAGCGUUAAGCGAGGCUUGCGAAAAUAUUUAAAACCCCACUCUUUUUUAACUUUAAAAAAUAAAUCAUGAUACAUGAAUUUAAAAAAAAAGAUCACUUUCAACAACGGAUCUCUUGGCUCUCGCAUCGAUGAAGAACGCAGCGAAAUGCGAUAAGUAGUGUGAAUUGCAUAAUUUUGUGAAUCAUCGAAUCUUUGAACGCAAAUUGCACUCCCUGGUAUUCCGGGGAGUAUGCCUGUUUGAGGGUCGUUAGAAUAAAAAAUCGAGGCGUCGCUCUUUUUUUUAAGGGUGAUCGCGUCGGAAUUGAGCCGUCUUUCAAAUGUUAAUUCAUGUCAAAGUGGCUUGAAAUUCAUCCAUCCGGUACGAUUAAAGCGUAUUUAAGAUCAAUUUUGUUCAAGAACGCGCGAUGACGUACCAUCUCAUGUAGUACGUUUGACCUGGGUCAUCAGGUUCAUUCGUAUACGAUACUCAAAACUUUUGACCUCAAAUCAGGUAAGAAUACCCGCUGAACUUAAGCAUAUCAAUAAGCGGAGGAAAAGAAAAUAACAAUGAUUCCCUCAGUAACGGCGAGCGAAGAGGGAUGAGCUCAAAUUUUAAAUCUGUUGGGUUCCACUUAACAGAGUUGUAUUUUGAAGAAACGUUUUCUGCGUCCAGGAUUAGCCUAAAUCCUUUGGGAUAAGGUAUCAUGGAGGGUGAGAAUCCCGUUCAUGGUUAAUCUUAAGGAAGCUCUACGAUACGUUUUCCAAGAGUCGAGUUGUUUGGGAUUGCAGCUCAAAAUGGGAGGUAAAUUUCUCCUAAGGCUAAAUAUUGGCGAAAGACCGAUAGCGAACAAGUACCGUGAGGGAAAAAUGAAAAGAACUUUGAAAAGAGAGUUAAACAGUCCGUGAAAUUGUUGAAAGGGAAACGAUUGAAGUCCGUCCAACCAACCGGGAAAUCAACCUUUUGAGCUUGGCCUCGGGGGUUUGGAAAAGUUCAAAGCCUUCCAAUUCCCGGGAUUGGGAUUCCCUGGGGGACUUUUUCCGACCGGUAAGCCAAAUCCGGUUUUGAAUGGCUAAAAUGCUCGGG
rnacentral:misc_RNA from 1 species